UCCGGAGGGUGCCAGCGUUAUCCGGAUUUACUGGGUUUAAAGGGUGCGUAGGCGGGUUUCCAAGUCAGUUGUGAAAGCUCCGAGCUUAACUCGGAAAUUGCCAUUGAUACUGGAAGUCUUGAAUUCAGUUGAGGUCGGCGGAAUGUGUCGUGUAGUAGUGAAAUACUUAGAUAUGACACAGAACACCAAUUGCGAAGGCAGCUGGCUAACCUGACAUUGACGCUGAGGCACGAAAGCGUGGGGAGCAAACGGG
rnacentral:rRNA from 1 species